rnacentral:lncRNA from 1 species
AAAAAUUGUGUAGCAGAUUGACAUCUAUUUCAGUAUCAUUUUUGUUUUGCUACAAGACUACAAGCUGUAGUUUGGUUGUCAACAAUGUGGAUCUACCUUCAUGUAUUAUUUUAACACCGGCACCAAAGAAGAUGGAGUGCAAUAUGAACUCAGGGUAAAAUGGUUGAGUUAGGGUUAGAGAUUUGUGUGAUGCAAAAAAGGUCGUCCUUAGUGCACAAGCUCCUGCUUAGUGACAAUAUGCACACGAGAUGUUUUUCCAACAGAAACAGCCACUAGUGUCUUAUAUGGAAGCGUUUGUUGCUGCAACAAUUCUUCACUUCCAACAAUUGGCCACCUACAGAUUGCAUACCUGUUAAACCUCAGCAGUGAUUGCUCGUCAAAUGUCAAGCUAUACGCAUAUGCUUAUAUGGUAAAGUGAGUUGACGCUUGAGCGUGAUGCAAACUGCUAUCUACCCUAACGGUGUUCUAUCUGUCGUAGAUUUGUGGACGAGUUCAAGACACGUCAUGUGACUGAACUGUCGCCGGAAAAAAAGAGAGAUUUGGAAAGUUUAGCUUAAGGCUUUAGUGUCGUCGUCGUCCUACUACUACUACUACUAUCUUAGCAGACAAGUACAACCACUUACAACUCAUUUCAGAAAUCUUGCAUUCCAAUCACAACAGGCACAGGGCAAAGCCAGGAUUUCCUCUUGACGGGGGAAUUAUCAGCGGAUGUU